rnacentral:rRNA from 1 species
GAUGAAGAACGCAGCGAAAUGCGAUAAGUAAUGUGAAUUGCAGAAUUCAGUGAAUCAUCGAAUCUUUGAACGCACCUUGCGCUCGUUGGUAUUCCGACGAGCAUGCCUGUUUGAGUGUCAUUAAAUUCUCAACCUCACCAGUCUUGUUAUGAGACUGUGUA